rnacentral:RNase_P_RNA from 1 species
CGAGAUAGCCGGACGGCGGCAUGGCAACAUGAGGAAAGUCCGAGCACCGCAGGGCAAGGGUGCAGGUCAACUGCCUGUGGAGGCGACUCCAAGGAAAGUGCAACAGAAAACUACCGCCCGCAAGGGUAAGGAUGAAAAGGCGAGGUAAGAGCUCACCCGCAAAUCGGCGACGAGGCGCGGUGUAAACCCCACCCGGUGCAAGAAAGGAGCAUAUAGGGCUGCCCGUCCGCUCCCGUUCGCUUGAACCGUAUGGCAACAUACGGUCUAGAUAGAUCGCCGUUCAAGACAGAACUCGGCUUACAGACUAUGCUCGCAAA